AAAAGUGAAAGACGGUCUUGCUGUCACUUAUAGAUGGAUCCGCGCUGCAUUAGCUAGUUGGUAAGGUAACGGCUUACCAAGGCAACGAUGCAUAGCCGACCUGAGAGGGUGAUCGGCCACACUGGAACUGAGACACGGUCCAGACUCCUACGGGAGGCAGCAGUAGGGAAUCUUCCGCAAUGGGCGAAAGCCUGACGGAGCAACGCCGCGUGAGUGAUGAAGGUCUUCGGAUCGUAAAACUCUGUUAUUAGGGAAGAACAUAUGUGUAAGUAACUGUGCACAUCUUGACGGUACCUAAUCAGAAAGCCACGGCUAACUACGUGCCAGCAGCCGCGGUAAUACGUAGGUGGCAAGCGUUAUCCGGAAUUAUUGGGCGUAAAGCGCGCGUAGGCGGUUUUUUAA
rnacentral:rRNA from 1 species